rnacentral:rRNA from 1 species
AUUGAACGCUGGCGGCAGGCUUAACACAUGCAAGUCGAGCGGUAACAGAGAGAAGCUUGCUUCUCUGCUGACGAGCGGCGGACGGGUGAGUAAUGCCUAGGAAUCUGCCUAGUAGUGGGGGAUAACUUGCCGAAAGGUAAGCUAAUACCGCAUACGUCCUACGGGAGAAAGGAGGGGACCUUCGGGCCUUUCGCUAUUAGAUGAGCCUAGGUCGGAUUAGUUAGUUGGUGAGGUAAUGGCUCACCAAGACCGCGAUCCGUAACUGGUCUGAGGGGAUGAUCAGGCACACUGGAACUGAGACACGGUCCAGACUCCUACGGGAGGCAGCAGUGGGGAAUAUUGGACAAUGGGGGGAACCCUGAUCCAGCCAUGCCGCGUGUGGGAAGAAGGUCUUAGGAUUGUAAAGCACUUUAAGUUGGGAGGAAGAGCAGUUAACUAAUAUUUGACUGUUUUGACGUUACCGACAGAAUAAGCACCGGCUAACUUCGUGCCAGCAGCCGCCGUAA